rnacentral:rRNA from 1 species
GCCUAAAGGGGCCGUAGCAGGAUUAGUAAAUCUCUUGUGAGAUUGUUAGGCUUAACCUAACAGCGUGCAGGAGACACUGCUAAUCUUGAGACCGGGAGGAGUCAGAGGUAUUCAUGGGGUAGCGGUAAAAUGCAAUAAUCCCAUGAAGACCACCUGUGGCGAAGGCGUCUGACUAGAACGGGUCUGACUGUGAGGGACGAAAGCUGGGGGAGCGAUCCGGAUUAGAUACCCGAGUAGUCCCAGCCGUAAACACUGCGAGCCAGGUGUUGCAUAUUCCAAGAGAAUAUGCAGUGUCGAAGUGAAGACGUUGAGCUCGCCGCCUGGGUAGUACGGUCGCAAGACUGAAACUUAAAGGAAUAGGCGGGGGAGCACUACAAGGGGUGCGGCGUGCGGUUUAAUCCAACUCAACGCGGAGAAUCUCACCAGAGGCGACGGCAGAAUGAAAGUCAGACUGAAGGUCUUACUUAACAAGCCGAGAGGUGGUGCAUGGCCGCCGUCAGCUCGUGCUGUGAAGUGUCCUGUUAAGUCAGGCAACGAGCGAGACCUGUAUCCACAAUUGCCAACGAGGUUUCUGAUCGGGCACAUUGUGGGGACUGCCUUGGAAACAAGGAGGAAGGUGCAGGCAACGGUAGGUCUGUAUGCCCCGAAUCCUCUGGGCUACACGCGCGCAACAAUGGUAUGGACAAUGGGAUGCAACUCCGAAAGGAGAAGCCAAACCUCUAAACCAUAUCCUAGUCCAGAUUGUGGGUUGUAACUCACCCACAUGACGUUGGAAUCCCUAGUAACCAGAUGUUAGCAUCGUCCGGUGAAUAUGUCCCUGCUCCUUGCACCCACCGCCCGU